GCCUGUGGCCGCGCCGCCCUGCACAUGCCCAGUCUCAUCUGCUCUCAGAAGCUAAGCAGGGUCAGGCCUGGUCGGUGCUUGGUGGGAGACACGGGCA
rnacentral:rRNA from 1 species